rnacentral:misc_RNA from 1 species
GAUGAAGAACGUAGCGAAAUGCGAUAAGUAAUGUGAAUUGCAGAAUUCAGUGAAUCAUCGAAUCUUUGAACGCACAUUGCGCCCGCCAGUAUUCUGGCGGGCAUGCCUGUUCGAGCGUCAUUUCAACCAUCAAGCCCCAGGCUUGUGUUGGGGACCUGCGGCUGCCGCAGGCCCUGAAAACCAGUGGCGGGCUCGCUGUCACACCGGGCGUAGUAGAUUUUAUCUCGCUCAGGGCGUGCUGCGGGUUCCGGCCGUUAAAAAGCCUUUUUUACCCAAGGUUGACCUCGGAUCAGGUAGGAAUACCUGCUGAACUUAAGCAUAUCAAUAAGCGGAGGA